GGUCGGGAGUGAUCUCAACCCAUUAAAUGGCAUCUAAACAUCAUGACCGUUCUUCCAUUUGCCUACCUAUACGUAAAUACUAUACGAUUUGUGGGAGGUGCUCUACGACAGCCGCUCUACGGAAGAUUGAAAGAGAAGGCUUCGAUGAAGCAGCGGUCAGGUGACGAACCCAUCGUGAGCCGUCCCCUCUCUCUCCAGCGAAGAAAACAUUUAUUCCUUUUCACCAUUUUCAUUUCUUCUAUUUCUUUAAAUUUGAACUGAGGGAGAGGAGAGGAAGAGGGAGAGAAGCAGAGAGCAAGUAAGAAAUUUUUCUGGGGGGCGGAUGGGGAGAAAUAGAUGGAAAAGGCUUCGAUGAAAGCCGCAGAGGUGACGAGACCCACCGCAAGUCACCGCCCUGGCUGAACCCAUCAAUCUCUGCUCAUAAAUUGCAAGCCAGAUAUGUUUCAUGAAUUAGGGUUUAUAGUUUUCGGUUUUCCUGAUCCUUAUUCCUUCCCACCCUCUCAUAAACUAGGGCAAAAAUCUAACGGGUUGUCUUUGAUUGCCACUUCCAUUAACAAGAAUAGAUUCUUGGAGACGACCUUUUCAUGUUAAUGGAAAAUUGGAAAUCAUUAUGCUGUGGUUUUUUGGAUUCUACGAAUCAUUUUGUAUCCGAAAAUAUCAAUUUGUUUUGAGAAUUUGAUAGUGAGGUUUGCUUUGUACCAAAAUGCACAAUCUAUAACUGACAAUCAUCAUCUUAGAAGUUAUUUUUGUACUUCCUGUUUCGAGGAUUUGGUUUUUGAGCUAUUGAAUAUUAAUUUGAUAAAAAUCUCAUUGGUUCAGGUAGGGGAAGUUGAGGAAGGACUUUAUCAAAAUUGUUUGGGUUUGUUGGGGUGUCAAGGUGGAUGUUCCGCAUCAACUACCUGGGGUUCCCAAAUUAAAGUGUGCUUCUCUAACUUGCAGAUGCAUUUAUAUGUAUCUAUUGAGGAUGCCUGUUUUGUUUCAGAGGCAAAGAAAA